rnacentral:rRNA from 1 species
GACGAACGCUGGCGGCGUGCUUAACACAUGCAAGUCGAGCGGUAAGGCCCUUUCGGGGGUACACGAGCGGCGAACGGGUGAGUAACACGUGGGUGACCUGCCUUUAGCUCUGGGAUAAGCCUGGGAAACUGGGUCUAAUACCGGAUAUGACUCCAUGACGCAUGUUGUGGGGUGGAAAGCCUUGUGCGGCUGGGGAUGGCCGCGGCCUAUCAGCUUGUUGGUGGGGUGGAUGGCCUACCAAGGCGA